rnacentral:lncRNA from 1 species
UGAGAUCCCAAAGCCCCCUGAACUCUGGGAUCCUUUCCCUGAGAUCCCCAAACCCCUCUGUGAUCUCCAGGAUGGAUUCCCAGGGAUCCCAAAGCCCCUGAUGAUCUCCAGGAUCCUUUCCAUGAAAUCCCAAAUCCUCCAGGAUCCCUUCCCAGAGAUCCCAAACCCUCACUGUGAUCUCCAGGACGGGUUCCCUGAGAUCCCAAAGCCCCCUGAACUCUGGGAUCCUUUCCCUGAGAUCCCAAAUCCCUCUGUGAUUCCAGGAUGGGUUCCCUGAGAUCCCAAAUUCUCCAGGAUGGGUUCCUAGAGAUCCCAAAGCCCCCUGAUCCUUCCCCGAGAUCCCAAAGCCCCCUGAACUCUGGGAUCCCUUCCCUGAGGUCCCAAACCCUCUGUGAUGUCCAGGAUGGGUUCCUUGAGAUCCAAAACCCUCUGUGAUCUCCAGGAUGGAUUCCCAGGGAUCCCAAAGCCCCCAAUCCUUCCCUGAGAUCCCAGCCUCCUGAGCUCCAGGAUGGGAUCCCUGAGAUCCCAAACCCCCCUGAAAUCUGGGAUCCCUUCCCUGAGAUCCAAAACUCUCUGUGAUCUCCAGGAUGGGUUCCCUGAGAUCCCAAAGCCCCCUGAUCUUCAGGAUCCUUUCCAUGAAAUCCCAAAGCCCCCUGAUCCUUCCCUGAGAUCCCAAAGCCCCCUGAGCUCUGGGAUCCCUUCCCUCAGAUCCCGAAGCCCCUGGUGAUCUCCAGGAUCCUUUCCGUGAAAUCCCAAAUUCUCCAGGAUCCCUUCCCUGAGCUCCCAAACCCCUCUGUGAUCUCCAGGAUGGGUUCCCUGAGAUCCCAAACCCCCCAAUCCUUCCCUGAGAUCCCAAAGGCCCCCGAGCUCCAGGAUGGGUUCCCAGAGAUCCCAGAUCCUCCCCGUUGGAUUCCCAAAGAUCCCAAACCCCCCUGAUCCUUCCCUGAGCUCCCAAACCCCUCAAUGACCCCUCCUGUCCCCCAACCCCGGCUGCAGGGCAGGGCCACCUNCCCCAAAAACAUUUGGGGACCCCCCAGAGACCCUGCCAGGACCAUCUGGGACCCCCACAGGAUUUUUUUGGGGUCCUCCCAGCCCAUUUUGAGCUCUCCCUACAGAUUAUUUUCAGGUCACCCCAAUACAUUUGAAGCUCCCCUGGGGGAUUUUGGGGUGCCCCAGGAUAUUUUGGGGUUCCUCAGAUGAUUUUUGGGGUCCCCCAGUUGAUUUUUUGGGGUUCCUUGGAUGGUUUUUGGGGUACUCACCACUGCUGUAAGGCCCUGAGCUGCACCCCAAAGCUGCCCCAGUACAUUUAGGAUAUUUUGGGGUUCCCAAGGUGAUUUUUGGGGGGUUUUGGGGACUCAUCACCAUCAUAGGGCCCUGAGCUGCGCCCCAAAGCUGCACCCCAGUACAUUCAGGAUAUUUGGGGUUCCCCAGGUGAUUUUUGGGGGUUUUUGGGGACUCACUGCCGCCGUAGGGCCCCGAGCUGCGCCCCCCAAAACUGCCCCAGUACAUUUAGGAUAUUUUGGGGUUCUCAAGGUGGCAUUUUUGGGGGUUUUUGGGGACUCACCGCCGCCAUAGGGCCCCGAGCAGCGCCCCCCAAAACUGCCCCAGUACAUUUAGGGGCUCUCAAGGUGGGAUUUUGGGGUUCCCCAGGUUAUUUUGGGGACUCACCGCCGCAUUAGGGCCCCAAGCUGCGCCCCAAAGCUGCCCCAGUACAUU